UACGGGGGGGGUAAGCGUUGUUCGGAAUUACUGGGCGUAAAGGGCUCGUAGGCGGCCAACUAAGUCAGACGUGAAAUCCCUCAGCUUAACUGGGGAACUGCGCCUGAUACUGGAUGGCUUGGAUUCGGGAGAGGAAUGCGGAAUUCCAGGUGUAGCGGUGAAAUGCGUAGAUAUCUGGAGGAACACCGGUGGCGAAGGCGGCAUCCUGGACCAAUACUGACGCUGAGGAGCGAAAGCCAGGGGAGCAAACGGG
rnacentral:rRNA from 1 species